rnacentral:rRNA from 1 species
GAGUUUGAUCAUGGCUCAGAUUGAACGCUGGCGGCAUGCCUUACACAUGCAAGUCGAACGGCAGCACGGGAGCUUGCUCCUGGGUGGCGAGUGGCGAACGGGUGAGUAAUGCAUCGGAACGUAUCCUGGAGUGGGGGAUAACGUAGCGAAAGUUACGCUAAUACCGCAUAUUCUGUGAGCAGGAAAGCGGGGGACCUUCGGGCCUCGCGCUCUUGGAGCGGCCGAUGUCGGAUUAGCUAGUUGGUGAGGUAAAGGCUCACCAAGGCGACGAUCCGUAGCAGGUCUGAGAGGAUGAUCCUGCCACACUGGAACUGAGACACGGUCCAGACUCCUACGGGAGGCAGCAGUGGGGAAUUUUGGACAAUGGGGGCAACCCUGAUCCAGCCAUGCCGCGUGAGUGAAG